AUUGCAGAGCUACCGCUUCGGUUAGCCAGCCACGAAGUUCUCGCGAGAGUCGUCUCCUCGAUACCAAGCGCCUGUGUCUGGCAGAGCUGGUGUGAGACGAGACAAUCCUGCCCCGCCGCCGGGAUAAUCAAGAGUUUUGGCCGGACCUUUGAGCAUACACCGAGAGAGUGAGGAGCCAGACGACAAGCACACACUAUGGCGCUGAAACGGAUUAAUAAGGAACUUAGUGAUUUGGCCCGUGACCCUCCAGCACAAUGUUCUGCAGGUCCAGUUGGGGAUGAUAUGUUUCAUUGGCAAGCCACAAUUAUGGGACCUAAUGACAGCCCAUAUCAAGGCGGUGUAUUCUUUUUGACAAUUCAUUUUCCUACAGACUACCCCUUCAAACCACCUAAGGCAAGUAUUUCCCCUCAAAAUCUGUUAGUAUAAAUUUAUGCUUUAUUUCAAAGGAAUAGAGCAUUCUUGGAAGAUAGGGUUCUGUGUAGGCUGUAUAUAUAUGUUGAAUUGCACUGAUGUAUAGAUGCUGACUCUUAACCUUUGGUUUAAAGAGCUAGACCUCAGUUUGAGCUUUGUAAAUAGGAAUAAGG
rnacentral:sRNA from 1 species